rnacentral:lncRNA from 10 species
CGCCUCCUUCUGGACGCUUGCUAUGUGACGCCACUUGGAAGGGACCCAGUAAGGGAUCUGUUGCGCCACAGGGGUCUCCAGGGCCCUCGCAGGUUGGGGUGGUCUGAGCUAGUCUGAAGGAGGACAGUCAGCUGACUUCUCCUUUAUCUCUCUUUCCCAGGAUAGCAGGUUCCCUUGGUGUAUUACAGUUUCUGAAGUGUUGAUUCCCUUUUCAAUUGAUUCCACAGAUGACAGUCCUGACGUUUAAAAAAUUGCCAGAUAACCUUUAAUUUUUUUUUUUUUAACAGAACACAAACUUAAGCCAGAUUGCCUAGGAUUGAACCUUGGCCUCUCACUUCCUAGACGAGUGGCCUUGGCUAGUUAACCACCUUCGUGAGCCUCAGUUUUGUCAUCUGUAAAAUGGGAGUCAUAAGUGUCUACCUCACAGAGCUGUGAUUGAAAGGAUAAAUAGCACCUUGCACAUAGCGGUGUAGAAGUGCUUGUUAUUGUUAAUAUUUUAUUUACCUUCACGCAGGUAACAGCCACAACAUCUGCCCACUCUUCCCCACACCUUACUGUCCCUUGAAAUGUUUCCCAUUUUACUAUAGUAUGCAUUUUUUGGCUUCUUCCCUUUAGGGAAAUGAGUAUGUGAUAGUAAAGCGUGUCUUGGUUUAUGUCCUAGGAGUCAGAAGCUAAGAGACUCCUUUUUGUGCUUGUACAUUUGUCUUAACUGAAAAUAACCCAAGGAUAAGGAAACAAAUAGCUUCCUGAAAUUACUCGGAUUGCGGGGGUGAGGGGUGAGGGCUGGGGGGUGGUGAUUCUGUCUUCAUAGGAUGGCAGCAAAGGCCAAAGUCUUAUUUGAGUUAUUACCAUUAUUAUUCACCACACUUGCCAUCUUAUUUCAAGCCUACAGUGGCGGAAGUGGAGUAAGACAUCAUGUUGCCUCAAGUUUAAUUGGAAAUCGCGUGCCUUGUGAAGAAUGGACACUCAGUAGAUGCUUAUUGAUGAACCUGUUGGUUGAGGAUAACUCGCUAACUUUUCUGAGCUUUGUUGGAAAAACUAGACAGGGGUCUCACUAUGUGAUGCAGGAUGAUCUCAAACUCCCUGGCCUCAAGCGAUCCUCCUGCCUUGGUCUCCUAAAGUGCUGGGAUUACAGGUAUGAGCCACUGCACCUGGCCUAUCCUGAAUUUUUUUAAUUCAUGCUACAUAGCAUUACAAGUUUGUAAAAAAAAAAAAAAGUUUACGACAUUUUUAAAGACAGAAAAGUAAUAGGCUUUAAAAAUACCUAUAACUAGGAAGGAAAUGCAUAUAAAAUACUACUUUCAAUAAAAGUUUUAUUAUUUAUAUAAAAUUACUGAAACAUUCCCUGUAAAUUUAUUCCUAUCUAAAAAAAUAUUAAUAAUGCACCUAUCUUAAAUAUUUGUGGGAUAAAAAAUUUAGUAAAAUGAAAUAUACCUUUAAAAUGAAAGUAGGCCAGGCAUGGUGGCUUACACCUGUAAUCCCAGUACUUUGGGAGGCCGAGGCAGGUGGAUCACCUGAGGUCAGGAGUUCGAGACCAGCCUGGCCAACAUGGCAAAACCCCAUCUCUACUAAAAAUACAAAAGUUAGCUGGGGAUGGUGGCGUGUACCUGUUAUCCCAGCUACUCGGGAGACUGAGGCAGGAGAAUUGCUUGAACCCAGGAGGUGGAGGUUGCAGUGAGCUGAAAUUGUGCCACUGCACUCAUUCCAGCCUGGCCAAAAGAGCAAAACUCCGUCUCAAAAAAAAAAAAAAAAAAAAAAAAAAAAAAAAGAAAAGAAAAAAAGGUAAUUUAUUUGUAAUUUGUAAUUUAUCUCUUUUGUAAUUUAUUUUCUUUAGCAGGUCACUGUAUCUCUAUGCAUUACAGAAAAUGGCUAGUUAAAAACUUGUCAAGGCCAGUUGCAGGCAUGAUACCAGCAGUCUGGGAGGUAGAGACAAGAGGACACAUCUCUGCUGCUCCCUUCUUUCCCCAUGGUUAUGCGCCAACUUUGGUUUCACCAGGCCUACAGUGCUUCCCAGGUUUGGAGUGUGGGGAAGGAGAAGAUUUAAUGGAAGCAGCUUAAGGGAAAUGCUCAAACUAAACUGAUACUUUCUUCAUGAUCUAGCAUUGAAACUUUCUGGACUUGACAGAUAUUUAAAAUUAACUCUUUUUCUCAUUAACAUUUUCAUGGGUUCUUCCAAGAUCCACAUUACCCAACCUGUGGGUUCCCAUGACAAGGAUUAAGGCAUCUCUGUUUCUUCUGGACCUUUAUUUACCUGGAUUCUUUCUCUAGGGACUGUUUACCCUUAUGGGCCAUCCUUUUGAGCAUAACCUAACAAGAUUCAUGCUGGCUUUAAGUGAGUGGUCCACAUUUGGUUCAUGGGAAAACCACAUAGUUUGUCCCCAGCAAACCUGGAAGUAAUAUUUAUUUUACUGCUGGAAUUAAGGAAAACCAAAAAUCCUAUUACAAAAUGGCUCCUCUAAACAUUCACAUUACCCCUUUUUGUCUCUACCCCCUGAGGAACUAACCAACUCUAGCUCUUUGGAUUUUCCAAAUGAGAGGUCAACACAUCGAUGUCUCCAAGACCUUAAGUUCUUCUAGUGGUCUCUUUAAGCUUCCUCCCUUGAAUUAUGGUGAAAAGGGACUGCCUGCUACCCCCUCCUCUUGAGGAGAGGGGUGGUAUCACAGCCUAACAAUAAUUUCCAAAAAUUUUCUCCUCCAGCUCUAAUGCUUAACCAGUUUAGACUUUCAAAGUGGAUAAUGUAAUUUAAAGCCUUACAGCUAGUUAUGCUCUACUUCUUCUAUAAGUCCUGCAACCAGGUGGUCUCAAUCCUCACUUGCGAAUACUGCAUUUACUCACCUUGUGCCCUAGCCAAAACUUCCACAACAAAUUCUGUGGUGCAUUUAAGUGAAAGAUGUUAUUUGAUUGAUAGAGAGAUAGAUAGAUAGAUACAGAUAUAGAUAUAGAUAUGUAUUAGAACCAUGUCAAAUGGUUAACUUUUUUAAAAAGGUAAAUUUUUUAUAUUGAGAUAAUUAUAGAUUCUCAUACACUCGUAAGAAAUAACACAGAAAGAUCCCAUGUAGCCUUUAUCCAGUUUCCCCAGUGAUAAUAUCUUGCAAAACUAUAGUCCAAUAUCACAACCAAGAUACUGGCAUUGAUAGAUCACUUCCAUCACCACAAACAUCCCUCAUGUUGCCCUUUUAUAGCCACACUCAUUUCCCUCCUGCUGCCACCCUCUCCUUUACCCAUAACCACUUAUCUGUUCUCUAUUUUUGUAAUUUUAUCAUUUCAAGAAUACUGUAGAAAUGGAAUAAUACAGUAUGUAUUUUAGGGCUUAUCUUUUCUACACUCGGCAUGAUUCUCUGGAGAUUCAUCCAGGUUGUUGCAUGUAUCAAUAGUUCAUUCCUUUUUUACUGCUGAACAGUAUUCCAUUGUAUGUAUGUACCAUAGUUUAACUAUUUGCUCAAUGAAAGACAUAUAUUAAUAGUUUCCAGUUUUUGCUGUUAUGAAUAAAGCUACUAUAAACAUUCAUGUACAGGUUUUUGUAUUAAUGCAAGUCUUCAUUUCUUUGGAAGAGAUGACUGAAGUUCAAUUACUGGGUUACGUGGUAGUUGCAUAUUUCUUUUUUAAAGAAACUGCCAAACUGUUUUUCAGAGCAUCUGUAUCAUUUUAUAUUCUCACCAGCAACGUAUCAAUGACCUAGUUUCUCUACAUCCUUUCUAGCCUUAAUUGUCUUUGUUUUUUUAUUUUACUUUGUUUGUUUGUUUUGAGACAGGGUCUUUCUCUGUUGCCCAGGCUGGAAUUCAGUAGUGUAAUCAAGGCUCACUGAAGCCUGACCUCCCGGCUGAAGUGAACUGCCCACCUCAGUGCUGGAAGUAGGGUGGGGCGUCAGCCACCAGUAGCAGGACUGUAGGCAUCUGCCACCAUGCCUGGCUGAUUUCUCUUUUUUCUUUUUGCAGAGAUGGGGUUUUACUAUGUUGGAGAAGCUGGUCUCAAACUCCUGGGCUCAAGUCAUCCUCCCGCCUCAGCCUCCCAAAGUGCUGAGAUUACAGACGUGUGCCUGGCCUAUUUUACUCGUUUUAAUAGAUGUUGAGGGCUCAUGACACUCCUGGUGGCCAUAUACGCAGAGGUCAGGGAGAGAAAGGGACCUGUGGGCCAGCACCCUUAUUGGGUCCAGAGAGCUAUCCAAACAAGUUUCCAGCAGGGAAUUUAAUUGGUGGAUUUAAAGCAAGCAGGCAUGAGUUCCAGGGGGCCACACUGACUGAGGUAUGUAUGUAUGUACCAUAGUUUAACUAUUUGCUCAAUGAAAGACAUAUAUUAAUAGUUUCCAGUUUUUGCUGUUAUGAAUAAAGCUACUAUAAACAUUCAUGUACAGGUUUUUGUAUUAAUGCAAGUCUUCAUUUCUUUGGAAGAGAUGACUGAAGUUCAAUUACUGGGUUACAUGGUAGUUGCAUAUUUCUUUUUUGCACACUGACAGAGAGGUAGUCACUAUGGCAUGUCUGAAUAGUUCGUUCCGUGUGUGAGUAUCAGCAGGGCCAGUCAAGCAGCCUGCAUCUAGCCACCACCUAGUGAAGUAGUCACCAGAGAGCAGUUGUAUAAGGCAGAUAUCUGGAUCCACCACAUUGAGGAACUGGGGGAAGGGAGCACCAAACCGAAAACUGUGUCCAAGGUGACGGAGUCCUGCCUCUGGUGUGAGAAAGCCCAGCUUAUAUUUAAAGUGGAUGCCAAAGCAAUAUAAAAUUAUAGGAAUUCAUUACCAAACUGAUAGCUUGUGGUUUUAAUUUGCAUUUCCCCAAUGAAUAAUGAUGUUGAGCAUCAUUUCAUGUGUUUAUUUGGCAUCUGUGUUACUGUGUGCAUGAAAUAUGUCUUCAUGUCUUUUGUCCAUGUUCUAAUUGGAUUUUCUCAUACUGUUGAGUUUUGAAAAUUUUUUAUAUAUUCCAUAUACUAGUCCUUUGUUGGAUAUGUGGUUUUCAAGUAUUUUCUCCCAGUCCGUAGCUUACCUUUUUGCCCUCUUAACAGAGUCUUUCACAAAAUGUGUUUUUUUUUUCUUUUUUUUUGAAACAGAGUCUCAGUCUGUCACCCAAGCUGGAGUGCAGUGGUGUGAUCUUGGCUCACUGCAACCUCCACUUCCCGGGUUCAAGUAAUUCUCCUGCUUCAGCCUUCCGAGUAGCUGGGAUUACAGGCUCCCACCACCACAACUGGCUAAUUUUUGUAUUUUUAGAAGAGAC